AUGCAUAUAACGGGAUGCGUGUUGUAUCUUCAUACUAAACACCUUGCAACGUUCAUAAAAUACGAACAAGUGGUAGUAGAAAUGCUCAUCUAGACGAUGAGGGAGUCGUCAAUUACAAGUUGUGCACAGUUAACAGAAGAGCAACACACUGCUGGGCUUAUCUUGUUCUGCCAAAGAUCCCAGUGAAACCAGGCUCUGCAUAGGAAGCUAGCAUUGAUAUUACUUGCUUGUAAUAGCUGUUAGCUGCCCUGGAGAAGUGGCACGAAUUGUGUUGUCACAAUAGAUAGGAUGGUCUUAAGUCAGAUACUCUUGCCAAAGAAGGUAUUUAUCUCCAGCCCUAACUGAAUCUGCAGGGAGAUGGCCUGGUGCGUUCCUGCUGCUGUGGCAGUAAUUCCUGCAGCUUAACCCAGAUCCCAGCGCUGAGCCUUAGCCAACUACCCCUUUUGUUUGCUUAUAUUUAGUGCUAUGUAGACUAUCGAGCCAGUGCUGCUGUUACCUCUCUAGGCGUAAGCAGAUCCAGAACAAACACUCCUCCUUGACUUAUGAGAAUAGGCAAUGAAUUGGGAUUGCUUCUUCAAAAAAAGACCCUGAAAGAGGCCUUCUGUGUGUUUGGAUUGUCCAAGCAAAGACAGAGAAUUAUCAUUUACAACCGUUACAGUGGAUAGGACACUGAAAAGCUGAGACAAAGAAUGCCUAGCACCUAGAUACAGAAAACAAUCUUCUAACACUUACUUGUACUGAUAAUUUAGUUAUUCAUCUCAGUUGCCCUGGCUUAAUUAUCCUGCUGGCUAAAUAUGUGACUUACAACCCUUUUUCUCCCUUCCCACAGAGCACUUCUGGAAUCUGAGCUAACUUCAGUAGGAAGAAGCUGCUCAUUGCUCCGAAUGGAGUGCUUUCUACUUACAUUGUUGGAACAGAAAAUGUCAGCAUGAAAAGUUUCAAAAAGGAAGAGGACACGAAGCUCUCCCUCCUGUACCUGGCAACACAGCAAACCCAGAACUUUAAAAACAAGCCCCACACACUACAGUUAGAGUCUAAGUGCCCUGAUUUCUACCCCAUAACCUCAAGGAGCACUGUUAGGCGAUAGUCUUAUUUUUUCAACCCGUGCCACCCAUUUUAGAUUUAAGCUUCUAUCUCUUGAAAUAUGCAUGGCCCAGAUUUCCACUGCCUCUAUUUUUCUCUCCCUCUGUGAUCACUUCUCUGAUGGCAUUUAACUCUCCCAGCAUUACUCAGCUACUGCCUGCGCUGCGCAUUUCUCAAGACCUCAGUGCUGCAGCUUCCCUCGACUAAACUCAAAUUGGUGACCUUAGCAGCGAAAGUGAACAAAGAUGGCUGGUCAUAAACUGAAUUUAUUUGACUUCUAAUGAAACUUUUUUUCUGACAGGUUUGUUGGGGCACUUUUGAGCUGACAAUUUUCGUUCCAGCACUGGUACUGAUUCAGGUUUGUUGCCUGUUUACCAUGCCUGCGGUGCACGCCUAUUAGAAAUAAAUCACUUGCUAGCAUCA
rnacentral:lncRNA from 1 species